GGGGGGGGGGGGGGGGGGGCGUGGGGGGGGGAGGGGGGGGGCGGGGGCGUGGGGCGUGCGCUGGGGGGAUGGGGGGCGGACGGGGGAGUGAUAAGUGGGUAACCUGCCCUUGCCUCUGGGGUAAGCCUGGGAAACUGGGUCUAAUACUGGAUACGACCUUUCCCCGCAUGGUGGUGUGUGGGCAGGGUUUUACUGUGUUUUGAUGGGGUCACGGCCUAUCAGCUUGUUGGUGGGGGAAUGGGCACCCAAGGCGACGACGGGUCGCCGGCCUGAGAGGGUGACCGGCCACACGGGGACUGAGACACGGCCCAGACUCCUACGGGAGGCAGCAGUGGGGAAUAUUGCACAAUGGGCGGAAGCCUGAUGCAGCGACGCCGCGUGAGGGAUGACGGCCUUCGGGUUGUAAACCUCUUUCAGCACGGAAGAAGCGAAAGUGACGGUACGUGCAGAAGAAGCGCCGGCUAACUACGUG
rnacentral:rRNA from 1 species